rnacentral:rRNA from 1 species
AACGAACGCUGGCGGCAUGCCUAACACAUGCAAGUCGAACGAGAUCUUCGGGUCUAGUGGCGCACGGGUGCGUAACGCGUGGGAAUCUGCCCUUUGGUUCGGAAUAACAGUUGGAAACGACUGCUAAUACCGGAUGAUGACGAAAGUCCAAAGAUUUAUCGCCAGAGGAUGAGCCCGCGUAGGAUUAGCUAGUUGAGGUGGUAAAGGCGCGCCAAGGCGACGAUCCUUAGCUGGUCUGAGAGGAUGAUCAGCCACACUGGGACUGAGACACGGCCCAGACUCUUACGGGAGGCAGCAGUGGGGAAUAUUGGACAAUGGGCGAAAGCCUGAUCCAGCAAUGCCGCGUGAGUGAUGAAGGCCUUAGGGUUGUAAAGCUCUUUUACCCGGGAUGAUAAUGACAGUACCGGGAGAAUAAGCUCCGGCUAACUCCGUGCAGCCGCCGCCGUAA